GACGAACGCUGGCGGCGUGCUUAACACAUGCAAGUCGAACGGAAAGGCCUCUUUCGGGGGGUACUCGAGUGGCGAACGGGUGAGUAACACGUGAGUAACCUGCCCUUGACUUUGGGAUAACUUCAGGAAACUGGGGCUAAUACCGGAUAGGAGCUCCUGCUGCAUGGCGGGGGUUGGAAAGUUUCGGCGGUUGGGGAUGGACUCGCGGCUUAUCAGCUUGUUGGUGGGGUAGUGGCUUACCAAGGCUUUGACGGGUAGCCGGCCUGAGAGGGUGACCGGCGACAUUGGGACUGAGAUACGGCCCAGACUCCGACGGGAGGCAGCAGUGGGGAAUAUUGCACAAGGGGUGGAAGCCUGAUGCAGCAACGCCGUGUGCGGGAUGACGGCCUUCGGGUUGUAAACCGCUUGCGCUCAUGACGAAGCUUUGUGUGACGGUAGUGGGUAAAGAAGCACCGGCUAACUACGUG
rnacentral:rRNA from 1 species